CACACCGCCCGUCACACCAUGGAAGUUGGUUGCACCAGAAGUCGGUCGCUUAACCGCAAGGAGAGCGCCGCCCGCGGUGUGGCUAAUGACUGGGGUG
rnacentral:rRNA from 1 species